AGACACAAUGAUACUGCUCCACCAGCCAUUGGAGGACCACUGGCGCUGUCCAUGGUGUUCCCAGGUGGUGCUGGGACUCAGAUGUGGAACCUGUUAUGUACCAAGAAGAUGUACUUUCCCUCUGUUUAUCAGCAGAAGGAGUAAGACUGUUUCAACCCAGGAUUUACUAAACUCUCUUGUCCUUGCGGUUCCCUCCUUUACAGUUUUUCCUCAUGGAACAUCAGGAGGAAUAAAAUAUCCUGCAGACUAUGCAAGAAACACAUCCCAAGUGUUUCUUUUGACAUCUCAGUGGAUUUUGAAGCUAGUGACUCACUUGGCAAAUGCUUGUGACUUGGUGAUAUUCAAGGAUACAGUUAACGCUACUACAAAGAAUCAAGUCAUCCUUGUCAAGGUUCUUUUUAAAAACAGCUGUUUGAGGGUUUUUCUUUUCUUUUUCUUAAAUCAGUGAUGUUCUAAUUGCUCACAUCAGAGAAAGAAGUAAACAUGGAGAAUUUCAGACUUCUGUUAGCUGACGUAUCUGUCAGUUAGCUAUUACUUCUUGAUUUAUUUACCUGUGUACCACCUGUCAUAUUAUUAUGAAUGAUUUCAAACAGGAGGAAGAAAGUCUAACAUUCACACAUAGUCUCGCUUCCGAUUAAAAUAUCUACCAGAACGUUAGCAUAAA